GAGUUUGAUCAUGGCUCAGGAUGAACGCUAGCUACAGGCUUAACACAUGCAAGUCGAGGGGCAGCAUGAACUUAGCUUGCUAAGUUUGAUGGCGACCGGCGCACGGGUGAGUAACACGUAUCCAACCUGCCGAUGACUCGGGGAUAGCCUUUCGAAAGAAAGAUUAAUACCCGAUGGCAUAGUUCUUCCGCAUGGUAGGACUAUUAAAGAAUUUCGGUCAUCGAUGGGGAUGCGUUCCAUUAGCUUGUUGGCGGGGUAACGGCCCACCAAGGCAUCGAUGGAUAGGGGUUCUGAGAGGAAGGUCCCCCACAUUGGAACUGAGACACGGUCCAAACUCCUACGGGAGGCAGCAGUGAGGAAUAUUGGUCAAUGGGCGCUAGCCUGAACCAGCCAAGUAGCGUGAAGGAUGACUGCCCUAUGGGUUGUAAACUUCUUUUAUAUGGGAAUAAAGUGCAGUAUGUAUACUGCUUUGCAUGUACCUUAUGAAUAAGGAUCGGCUAACUCCGUGCCAGCAGCCGCGGUAAUACGGAGGAUCCGAGCGUUAUCCGGAUUUAUUGGGUUUAAAGGGAGCGUAGGCGGGUUGUUAAGUCAGUUGUGAAAGUUUGCGGCUCAACCGUAAAAUUGCAGUUGACACUGGCAUCCUUGAGUACAGUAGAGGUAGGCGGAAUUCGUGGUGUAGCGGUGAAAUGCUUAGAUAUCACGAAGAACUCCGAUUGCGAAGGCAGCCUGCUGGACUGUAACUGACGCUGAUGCUCGAAAGUGUGGGUAUCAAACAGGAUUAGAUACCCUGGUAGUCCACACAGUAAACGAUGAAUACUCGCUGUUUGCGAUAUACAGUAAGCGGCCAAGCGAAAGCGUUAAGUAUUCCACCUGGGGAGUACGCCGGCAACGGUGAAACUCAAAGGAAUUGACGG
rnacentral:rRNA from 1 species